AUUGAACGCUGGCGGCAGGCCUAACACACGCAAGUCGGACGGUAGCACAGAGGAGCUUGCUCCUCGGGUGACGAGUGGCGGACGGGUGAGUAAUGUCUGGGGAUCUGCCCGAUAGAGGGGGAUAACCACUGGAAACGGUGGCUAAUACCGCAUAACGUCGCAAGACCAAAGAGGGGGACCUUCGGGCCUCUCACUAUCGGAUGAACCCAGAUGGGAUUAGCUAGUAGGCGGGGUAACGGCCCACCUAGGCGACGAUCCCUAGCUGGUCUGAGAGGAUGACCAGCCACACUGGAACUGAGACACGGUCCAGACUCCUACGGGAGGCAGCAGUGGGGAAUAUUGCACAAUGGGCGCAAGCCUGAUGCAGCCAUGCCGCGUGUAUGAAGAAGGCCUUCGGGUUGUAAAGUACUUUCAGCGGGGAGGAAGGCGGUGAAGUUAACAGCUUCACCGAUUGACGUUACCCGCAGAAGAAGCACCGGCUAACUCCGUGCCAGCCGCCGCAGUAA
rnacentral:rRNA from 1 species